GCUCAACAGACACCUAAACACAUAAACAUGUUUAAAAUCACAGUGAAUUUAAAUUUAAUAGAAUAUAAUUCUGUUCAUCAUUCUAGGUACAUUUUGUUAUCCAACACUUCAUGUAUCUCAACUCAUUUGUGCUCAUUUAUUGAAGAUUUGGGAGCAUGUGUUGAACAGACCACAGUAUUUCCUGAUACAAUAAAGACAACUCUCCACUGCACUGUACAUGUUUAUAUGUGAUUUCUGCUAAUAACAGUUAUUCUGUGAUUUUCAAACAUGGUCAUUCAACCCUGGCUGCUCAGUUUCAGCAACUCUCAGAGUGAUGACUUUCUUUCUGACCUGGUUUAUGCAAAUACCUGCACACUACAUGGCUACAAGUAUGUGUGACGGUGUAACAUGGGAUUGAGACUCCAUGUUCAUUAACCUGCUGCACUACCGGCCUCCACUCUUUAGGUUUUAAGCUUGAACCUGCAGCAGGGAUUUGCUCCCUUUCAGACACAAGACAUUCAGUGAGGUCCAGCACUGAUGUUGGUGAUCAGGUUUGGCUCUCAGUUGUGGGUCCAGUUCUGUCCAGUCAGGUUCUUCCACACCAAACUGGGAAAACCAUUUCUUUAUGGAGCUGCUUUGUGUCAUGUUUAAACAGGAAAGAAACUGCUGACACGAAGCUGGAAAGAUAACGUUUUCUAAUAUAUCAGAGUAUGCUGCAGGAUUAAGAUUUAACUUUAUUGGACCCAGUCAAAAACAGUAGAGUCGCCUGUCCACAUACUUUUGGCCACAUAGUGAGGUGUGCUUCAGCAGCUUUAGAGAGUUCUAACUUAGACGUGAUGUUUUUUUGUUCAGCCGCAUAUCGCAGAUCUGAUUCAAUUCACAGAUGAAACCAGAGCAGGAAGUCGUCCGUCACACGUCACAUCUCAGAUGAAUCUAAUGAUUAUUAUUGGUCUGAGGACGGCGCCACAGCAGUCUGUACAUAACAACAUGAUAUCAAACACAAUAACUCCUCUAACUGCACACGAGAUGUUUGGUAGUCCAAACGUUCACACGCAGGAGGAUGACGCACGCUCAAUUUACAACCGGGACACUGAAGAUCACACUUGGACACACUUGUUAUCUUCACUGUAAUGUAUAUUUACAAUAAAACUAAAUUAAAUAUCACAUCAAAGUGCCUUUUAAUUGAUGUAAUUUAUUAAUGUAAUUUUAAUUAAUGUCAUUUAAGGUGCAUAAACUGUAUGUAUGUUACUGCAAUGUGGUGAGAUGUUGACAUGUGAGGAGCCCAAAGCUCCACAGAGCAGCUCUGUUGUUAAACUGUCCUGUAAAAACAUGAAGCUUCACCUUCAGGCAAACCAAAUAUCAGAUUUAGACACCUACACCAACGUUUGUUUGACCCUCUGUGUCAAACUCCACAGAGACAUCAGAGCCAAUGAGCUGCUGACAGCUGAAAGCUCUUACCCUGCUAACGUUCCCAGCUGCCCCGAGUCUGUCCUGCACGGUCCUGACUCGAACAGAGAUGCUAGCCAGCGCGUCUCUUAAGCACACUGGAAACCUGCUUAGAAUGAGGAUGGAGUUUGUAGCAGAGACACAAUCAUCAUAAAUGAUUUCUGCUGCUCGUCCUGGACUCAAGGAUGAUGUACGAAUGUAUCUGACAUAGAUAUUAUUAACAAAAAUAACAUGCUGUGUUUUAUGUUUUAUGUAUUGCUGUCUUUGUUUUUUGGUGCCUUGUUAUAUGUAUAAGUUUCGCUGUUCCUGUUCUAAUGUAUUUUACGUAGCUGUCAGUACAUUACACAUUACACUACAGUUGAAAAUGAGCCAAGCUGGCUAAACUGGCACAUUUACAGAAAUGUCCAUUAAUGUGCAUUGUCCCUGUAACUUGUCCCUGUAAACUGCAUAAAUAAAAAAAUAAAUGUGAAGACGCUUAUUUCUGAUCCCAAGUGAAGCCCUAAAAAUAAAAAUAAAAUAAACGGUAAAAACUAAA